AUUGAACGCUGGCGGCAGGCCUAACACAUGCAAGUCGAGCGGAUGAAGGGAGCUUGCUCCUGGAUUCAGCGGCGGACGGGUGAGUAAUGCCUAGGAAUCUGCCUUGCAGUGGGGGAUAACGUCCGUAAACGGGCGCUAAUCCCGCAUCCGUCCUGAGGGAGAAAGUCGGGGAUCUUCGGACCACGCGCUAUUAGCUGAGCCUAGGUCGGAUUAGCUAGUUGGUGGGGUAAAGGCCUACCAAGGCGACGAUCCGUAACUGGUCUGAGAGGAUGAUCAGUCACACUGGAACUGAGACACGGUCCAGACUCCUACGGGAGGCAGCAGUGGGGAAUAUUGGACAAUGGGCGAAAGCCUGAUCCAGCAAUGCCGCGUGUGUGAAGAAGGUCUUCGGAUUGUAAAGCACUUUAAGUUGGGAGGAAGGGCAGUAAGUUAAUACCUUGCUGUUUUGACGUUACCAACAGAAUAAGCACCGGCUAACUUCGUG
rnacentral:rRNA from 1 species